rnacentral:lncRNA from 1 species
UAGGACAAGGUCAGACAAGCACGUGUUCAGCUGUUAUGGCUGCUGACAGUGGCAGGCAUCUGACCUUAGUGACUAAGACAAGGUUAGACAAGCUGUUAUGGCUGCUGAAAUGGGAAGCUGAUCCCUUCAAGAUGUCUUAUGAAGAUAAAUGCCCUCCAGAGGAGGUUUUUUUUUAAAGAUUUACUUAUUUUAGUUCUUUUGUGUAUGAAUGUUUUUGCCUGCAUGUAUGUAAGUGUACCAUGUAUACCCUGGUACCCAGAUAGUUCCGAAAUGGGCAUCAUUUUCCAUGGAAAUGGCGUUAUGGAUGAUUUUGAACCACCAUGUAGGUGCUGGGAACUGAAGUCCUCUGAAAGAGCAGCCAUUGCUCUUAACUGCUGAGUCAUCUUUCCGGCCCGCUUCAGAGAAUUGUAAAUUUGACUGAAGAGGACUGGUGUACAUGAAGGAUUCCAGAAAACUUGCCAAGACAUAUCAGCUCCAGGGGGCAGCCAAAUACUCCUCUGUGGACUCUACAACUUCUGUUUACAGUGUGCACUUUGAACUUUCCUCGAGUAACUUGAACUUGAGCUGGAAUUAGUGUACAAUUUACAUAUCUACAUGCGUCGGCCUUAAAAUUGUACCUAUUUUUAUCGGUAACGACCUGUUCAGUCCAGUAUGUAAAUCAAGUAUAUAAAAAAACACCUACUCACACUGAUAAGGUUACCACAUUAGUAUAUCUAGCAUUUAAUGGAGGGUUAUACUUAAUAAUGUAU